GAUGAUCAUGGCUCAGAUUGAACGCUGGCGGCAUGCCUUACACAUGCAAGUCGAACGGCAGCAUGAUCUAGCUUGCUAGAUUGAUGGCGAGUGGCGAACGGGUGAGUAAUACAUCGGAACGUGCCCUGUAGUGGGGGAUAACUAGUCGAAAGAUUAGCUAAUACCGCAUACGACCUGAGGGUGAAAGUGGGGGACCGCAAGGCCUCAUGCUAUAGGAGCGGCCGAUGUCUGAUUAGCUAGUUGGUGGGGUAAAGGCCCACCAAGGCGACGAUCAGUAGCUGGUCUGAGAGGACGAUCGGCCACACUGGGACUGAGACACGGCCCAGACUCCUACGGGAGGCAGCAGUGGGGAAUUUUGGACAAUGGGCGAAAGCCUGAUCCAGCAAUGCCGCGUGUGUGAAGAAGGCC
rnacentral:rRNA from 1 species